UACGAAGGGAGCUAGCGUUGUUCGGAAUCACUGGGCGUAAAGCGCACGUAGGCGGAUUUGUCAGUCAGGGGUGAAAUCCCGGGGCUCAACCUCGGAACUGCCUUUGAUACAGCAAGUCUUGAGUUCGAGAGAGGUGGGUGGAAUUCCUAGUGUAGAGGUGAAAUUCGUAGAUAUUAGGAAGAACACCGGUGGCGAAGGCGGCCCACUGGCUCGAUACUGACGCUGAGGUGCGAAAGCUAGGGGAGCGAACGGG
rnacentral:rRNA from 1 species